GUCUGGCUUGCUGAUUUGGAAGGAUGUCAUUGUUUAAAACUAAUCACUUUACCACUGAUUUCUGAAAGUGCUAUUAUUACAAGUCUAGCAGUGGAUGAUAGCUUCAUAUACUGGAGCAUAACAGACAAGACAAAUGGAUCUGUUUAUCAAGCAAGAAAAUUGAAUAAUAUUCCAACUUUGCUCCAAAAUCACACAGGACAUAUCCAAGUUAUAGCAUAUGGUACUGCUUUGCAACCUUUUCCAGAUGUAAAAUGUCUAUUACUGGCUAUAAACAACUCUCUGCCAAAGAUUCAGAGUGCAACAAACACCAGUUUUACUUUGGAAUUACCUCCUACAGUGCCAAAAAAUACCUGCCCUAUAGCAAUGACCACUCCAAC